rnacentral:rRNA from 1 species
UGGGGAAUUUUGGACAAUGGGCGAAAGCCUGAUCCAGCAAUGCCGCGUGUGUGAAGAAGGCCUUCGGGUUGUAAAGCACUUUUGUCCGGAAAGAAAUCCUUGGCUCUAAUACAGUCGGGGGAUGACGGUACCGGAAGAAUAAGCACCGGCUAACUACGUGCCAGCAGCCGCGGUAAUACGUAGGGUGCAAGCGUUAAUCGGAAUUACUGGGCGUAAAGCGUGCGCAGGCGGUUUGCUAAGACCGAUGUGAAAUCCCCGGGCUCAACCUGGGAACUGCAUUGGUGACUGGCAGGCUAGAGUAUGGCAGAGGGGGGUUAGAAUUCCACGUGUAGCAGUGAAAUGCGUAGAGAUGUGGAGGAAUACCGAUGGCGAAGGCAGCCCCCUGGGCCAAUACUGACGCUCAUGCACGAAAGCGUGGGGAGCAAACAGGAUUAGAUACCCUGGUAGUCCACGCCCUAAACGAUGUCAACUAGUUGUUGGGGAUUCAUUUCCUUAGUAACGUAGCUAACGCGUGAAGUUGACCGCCUGGGGAGUACGUCGCAAGAUUAAAACUUAAAUGAAUUG